rnacentral:rRNA from 1 species
GGACGAACGCUGGCGGUGUGCUUAACACAUGCAAGUGGUGCGACGAACCAGAGCUUGCUCUGGGGCAAAGCCGCGAACGGGUGAGUAACACGUGGGUAAUCUGCCCCGAUGACCGGGACAACCCGAGGAAACUCGGGCUAAUACCGGAUGUGGUACGGAGACAUAAGUCUCUUUACUAAAGGUAGCUUCGGCUUCCGCAUUGGGAGGGGCCCGCGGCCCAUUAGCUAGUUGGUGGGGUCAAGGCCUACCAAGGCAACGAUGGGUAGCUGGUCUGAGAGGACGAUCAGCCACACUGGGACUGAGACACGGCCCAGACUCCUACGGGAGGCAGCAGUGGGGAAUCUUGCGCAAUGCGCGAAAGCGUGACGCAGCAACACCGCGUGAGGGAAGACGGCCUUAGGGUUGUAAACCUCUUUCAGAUGGGACGAAGGUGAUGCGGUGAAUAGCCGAUGUCAUUGACGGUACCGUCAGAAGAAGCUCCGGCUAACUACGUG